UACGAAGGAUCCAAGCGUUGUCCGGAUUUACUGGGUUUAAAGGGUGCGUAGGUGGGGAAUUAAGUCAGUGGUGAAAGCUGGUAGCUUAACUAUCAAAUUGCCAUUGAAACUGAUUUUCUCGAGUACGGUUGAGGUAGCUGGAAUGUAACAUGUAGCGGUGAAAUGCUUAGAUAUGUUACAGAACACCAAUUGCGAAGGCAGGCUACUAAACCGUAACUGACACUGAGGCACGAAAGCGUGGGGAUCAAACAGG
rnacentral:rRNA from 1 species